ACUUUGGUGGUUCAGUGGCAGAAUUCCUGCCUUUCAUGCAGGAGACCUGAGUCCAAUUCCUGGCCAAUGCA
rnacentral:tRNA from 1 species